rnacentral:piRNA from 2 species
UUUCAGAUAGAGAGCACUGUGGGUGGCUGA